rnacentral:lncRNA from 1 species
UGCCACACACAACUACGACUGCAAUCAACCCUAUUAAAGAUGCAUCUAUCUGGAGACUACAGGUCCCACAAUGCAAUGAGGAAAGCUUCUCAAAUAGAGGGUAAGGAUGUCCUAACAGACUGAAUAAGUCAGCUAUUCCUUUCCAUGGAGUGCUGGAGGUUCGCCUGAAUUCUAGCUGGCUUGCAGGACAAAGGCUGAAAGAGGAUGCCACAAAGUUCUUUUUACUCUGGACCUCAAUCUUCAGUCCCUGCCUACACAAUGUAGCUGUGUGGACAUCACUGGCAAAAUACUAAUGGUGGUAACACCCAGUGGUCCUGCUUGUCUUCCAAAGAUACAUUUCUGGAGGACUCUCAGGUGGGAUGAAGAGAAGGUCACUGACUCCACCUUAUGCUUAGACGGGAGGAAAGAAAAGCCUGCUGUUUGUCCUGGCUUGCAAAGUUGCUUCUGGACAGCUCUGUGCUGCGUGGGCAGUGUUACACAGUCAACGGGCUUUCCACCAGGAAGGUCAAGUUUGAAUGGGGCAGGCCAGAGACUGCUGUUCCCAGAGAAGAAUGUGCCCAAAAGAGAAGAGCUGGUCACUUGGGAAGAAGUGCCUUUUGCAGAGGCUGACAGUCACAGAGGCCGUUUGUGUCCCAAGGCCCAGACUCUGGCACCUUUUGCCCCAAGCAGAAGGACAGCUGUAUGGAGCUGACUGUGACUCCCAAGUUACAAACAAAUGGUAUAAAAAGCACCGACCAGAGCCCAAUUCCUGGUUCAUGGCUCAAGUACCACAUCUCCAGACCUUUUUGUAAGAGGCUAUGAGCAUUCAAAGAACUAAGCAGUUGCUGAAGCCUCAUUUCCUAUUUCCAACUGCACUGAGAGAACUACGCUAAGAUGCCACCCCUCUCUACAGGCCCAGCUCACCGUGUAGCUGGACAUGCCCCUCAGUUGUGGCAGCGUGCUAGUACUAGUGAUGCACAGACCAGAAUGGCUGGGAAGGGAAGAGGCGCAUGGGAUUCCUGCACCUGUCUGAAGGGUCUGAGAGACCUGACCUGCUUCCCAAUUAAAGAUGGUACAAGACUUUGAAGGGUUAAAUUUAGACACGUGUUUCUAUCCCAGUUCCUGGGGAGGAGUUUGCAUUCCUGGUGUAAAGAAAUUAAUAAAUGUUAAUUACUGCCUGGUUCA